CAGCCCGGGGGCAGCGGCGGCGGGCGGGGCGGCGGGCAGCGCCCCCUGCUGGGGGCGGGCGGUGCCCCCGGAAUGCGAGAACAGGAGAACAUACCCUUGGAUUUACAGGAACGUGUUUCCUCUUAUUCCUUCGUGUCAGGAUAGGGGGAAUCCUUGUUUGGAAUUGGUGCUGCUGCUGGUCAGAUAUCAAAGAAAGGCCACAGUGCUUCUGACAGCUCCUGCUUGGGAAGGCGCGAGGCCAAAGCUUUGUUGGUGAUGCCUCUUAGAGGAUGCUGGUGGAGUUCUUGAUGGAGUUAGUUGAGAGAAGAGCCAGGAUGCUUUAGGGAUGUUUGCAGUCGAUGGAGCCUUCUUGAUUCUUGCAUCUCUGCCUGAGUAGCUCAGUACCCAGGAUUUUGCCUUUUGGUGGUUGGUCUUUGCAGCCACUCGAGAGCUGAGUGUUCUGGAGAGUCUGUAAUUGCAGGUUAACUCUUAGGUUUAGCAGUCACCUUCCGCAAGAUAAGUCCGAAUCCUGAUUCAGUUCUUCCUGAAUCUGAGGGUUCCUGACCCUGGUUUUGCAGAUGGAAGUCCAUCUUAUUUUCAAGAACCUGGUAUUGAGGAAAGGACCCAAGAUGAAUAAGUUUUCUGAGGAUUCUGGGUACUGAAGUGAUGGAAACACUGACCAAAUAGCUGAAUAAAAUGUCUUCUUUGUAGACUUUUUCUUCUAAAUUCCAUGAUUUCAUCUGUGUUUAAAAUGCAGCAUAAAAGCAAAAAGGGGUUAAGCACAAGUUUGCCGUUUGCUCUCAUUUCAUUUGGCAAAACACACUUUGCUGCUGUCACUGUGCAGAUGCGUUACUCAGUUUGUGGAAGCAGCCCAGAAUUUCGGUUGCCUUUUCAUUAUUAGUAAUUGUCUUUUUGCAGUGUUUGCAGUGUUACCAUCCUGGCUGCUUUCGUGUUUGGGGCUGGUCAUAGCAGACCGGGGAACUGCUGUUCCACACGUGCUGUUUCUGAGGUUCCUUUCUGACCUGGUCGUCUUCUGCCUAUUCCUGCUGGUUGCUCCAGCUGAGAUUUUGAAGUUAUGAUGCCUCUUUCUUGCCCAGGACAAACUAGAACAUGAUGUCAACUCCUCCUUUCUCUGUUGCCCUCACCAUUCACUUGAAUAAGAGAAUUCCUUUGAAAAA